AAAAACAAAAUCCUUUUGUUUGUUUACUAGGGUUUCAUACCCUGUCUCAGUCGCCGUCAUCAUCAAAGGCCCUCCAUGGCUUCCAUCGAUGUCCCGGUCUCCGAUUGUGACUGAGGAGGGUACACCGCGACAGCACCAAGUAUGAUUUUCUCUCUUUUUUAUAUUUUAAGCGAAAAAUAAAUAAAAACAAAAGGGAAAAAGAAAUGAAAAAAAAUCGAAUCUAACAAUGAUGAACACCCGAAAAUAAAACAAAAAAUUCACCUUUAGUAUUCAAAAGCCUCUUUUUUUAUUUUUCCUCCCCCUUGUACAGUAUUCGUAUUGGCUUUUUAUAGCCGGAAUUACAGAAAAAAUCAAAAUAAAAGGCCUCCAAAAUCCAAUCUGUUAUCCCCCUUUUCUCGUAUUUUUGUUGCCUUUUUCUGUUGUUGCUAUUUGUUUGCAGAUUUGGAGGCCAGCUUGGAGCAACGGACGGAGGUGCACACGCGCGUGAAGGCGCAACUCGCGCGGAGGAAACUCUGGCCGCUGCGGCGCUAGGGGUCGUGUGCUGCUACUAGGGUUUCUGAAGGCUUGUCUUGGGUCACAUUGUAUUUGGGCUAGGGUCUAAUAUUUGGGCUGAUGUAAUUUGGGUCUUUUGGACAAAUGUAAAUGGACUUUGGAAUUGUUAGCCUUCUUAUGGUUUAUGCAUGUGGGCCCGAGCAAAUUGGGCCUAUUACAGUUGCCCCUCUUUGCUCGUUGUCGCAUAGCGAGAACAAAGCAAAGACUAAAAAGCCCAAUUGUGCCCGGUCUUACUGAACCUCAGCUUCUUCAGUACCUUUAUUCCUUCAUACUGCAUCUUCUACUCCACUGCAAUAUCAGGGAGAUAGGAUUUGCUUUCUUGGGUCUGCUCCACUGCAAGGAUUUGCUUUCUUGGGUCUACUCCACUGCAACUUCAGGGAGAUAAGACCCGAUGCGAUCUGCUCUCUGCAACUUCAGAGAGAUAAGAUUUGAGAUUUUAAUCCGCUUCACAGCAAUUUCAGGGAGAUAGGGUUUGCUUUCUUGGGUCUGCUCCACUGCAACUUUAGGGAGAUAAGACCCGAUGUGAUAUACUCUACUGCAACUUCAGAGAGAUAAUCUCUGUGAUUUUAAUCCGCUCCACUGCAACUUCAGAGAGAUAGGAUUAUUGGUUUUAAUCUGCUCCACUGCAACUUCAGGGAGAUAAGAUUCGCCAUCUUCAGUCUGUCUUACUGCAACUUCAGGAGGAUAAGACUUGAUUACUUAGUCUGCUCCACUGCAACUUCAGGGAGAUAACUCUAGAUGCGAUCUGCUCUCUGUAACUUCAGAGAGAUAAGAUCUGUUAUUUUAAUCCACUCCACUAUAACUUCAGGGAGAUAGGAUUAUUAGCUUUAAUCUGCUCCACUGCAACUUCAGGGAGAUAGGAUUAUUGGCUUCAAACUGCUCCACUGUAACUUCAGGGAGAUAAGAUUUGACAUCUUCAAUGUUAGGGAAACAAGAUUUGCCGUCAAAGCUUUAAUCUAUUCCAUUACACCGCCAGGGAAGUAAGAUUCGCCAUUGCGGCUUCAAUCUGCUCCACUGUAAUGCCAAAGAGAUAGGAUUUGCUGCCCACAGCUUCAAUCCGCUCCACUUUAGCUAAUCCAAGCCUUAACACUAGGGAGAUAAGAUUCGCCAUCAUGGCUUCAAUAUGUUCUGCUACAACACUAGGGAAAUAAGAUUCGUCGUUGUGGCUUUAAUCUUUUCCAUUGCAACAUCAAGGCGAUAGGACUGAUGUCUUCGAUCUGCUUUACUGCCAGUACAGGAAGGCAAGAUCUGCUAUUUUCAGCCUACUCCACUGCUGACCAGGGAGAUAGGACCUACAAUCUUCAAUCUAUUCCACUGCUGCCUAGGGAGAUAGAAUUCUCAAUCUUCAACCUAUUCCACUGCUGACCAGGGAGAUAGGAUUCACAAUCUUUAACCUAUUCCACUGCUAUCUAGGGAGAUAGGAUUCUUUAAUCUAUUCCACUGCUGCUGAGAGAGAUAGGAUUCUCAAUUUUCAACCUAUUCCACUAAUGACCAGGGAGAUAGGAUUUACAAUCUUUAACCUAUUCCACUGCUGUCCAGGGAGAUAGGAUUCACAAUCUUUAACCUAUUCCACUGCUGACCAGAGAGAUAGGGCUGGGGUCAUCAAUCUGCUUCGCUGUCGGUGCAGGAAGGCAAGAUCUGCUAUUUUUAACCUGCUCCGCUGCAACCCAGUGAGGCAAGACUGGUGUUUUCAAUCUGCUUCGUUGUCGGUGUAGGAAGGCAAUAUCUGCUAUUUUUAGUCUGCUCCGCUACAACCCAGGGAGGCAAGGCUGGUGUCUUCGAUCUACUUCGCUGUCAGUGCAGAAAAGGAAGAUCUGUUAUUUUUAGUCUGCUCCGCUGCAACCCAGGGAGGUAAGGCUGGUGUAUUCGAUUUGCUUCGCUGUCGGUGCUGGAAGGCAAGAUCUACUAUUUUUAGCCUACUCCACUACAACCUAGGGAGGCAAGGCUGGUGUAUUUGAUUUGCUUCACUGUCGGUGCAGGAAGGCAAGAUCUACUAUCUUCACUGAUCUGCUCUCUGGGGAACAUGACCUGUGUAAUGAACCUAAUUAUGCCUAAUGAUUAGGAUGGCAUAAAAUGAAUCAAAUGCUCCUAACUAGACAUAUGUGAAUGGUGUUUGCACAAAUGCAUAAUUUUUCUUUUCUUUUCGAGAAUGAUCCCACUUGGGUUGUCAUUGCUCGAAGUUUAUUAAGGCUUUAACACUGAUGUGCUACAAUGCCUUCUUGCUUGGCUGGCUUUUCUGAAGAAACAUUUAGUCAGAUUGCCUCCCACUAUAAACCUUGAAGUUCAAUCCAUUGGGGCACAAAAUUUAUACCAUCAUUCUCCCACUGUAACCCAAAGGUAGGAAUAUCUCCUAUCACAAUUCAAGGAUACAGGAUCUAAAUCUCUCUAGUCUCUUACACCAUUCCCAAGGUAUCGUACCAAAGGCUCAUGCAUAGAUGAAAGCUUUCUUCUCUGAGGAAACUUCUUCCUAUUGUUUGGUGAUCAUUGCUUGCUUAUUUAUUUAAGCUUUGUCAUCAACACGAAAUCUUGUCAUUUUGUUCAAUCAAUGUUUUUGACAACAAAAUUCAAAGAGAAAGUCCUACUUUAGACUCUUCCUUUUCAGAUUUCCAACCUUUAAACCUGGUGCGUUCUAAACAAUAGUCCUGUUUCAGGUUCCUAUAUUAUUUAGAAACUUCUAGAGUAAUAUGCCAAACUUCCUUUGUGAAAGUUUUAUUAGUCCAUUAAUCAUUAUUCCAAUGCAACAUGCUUGCAAAAAGGGUAUAACAAUGGAUGAGAAUACAAUCGAUUCUGAGCAUAACUCGAAAGGAAUAGAUUAUCAAAAAUAGUAAAUAAGGAUAGCAAAGAAAUUGAUUGGGAAUGUGUAUCUUGGAAAAGAAUGAAGUAUUUCAAGAAUAACAAAUUCAAUAUAAAAAUUGGAUGCCCUAGGUAUUGCAGCUUGAGCUUCUCUAUACAAACUUUCUAGAGACCAUUUUGAGUUUGACAUAUGUUUAGAAGAUCCACAGUACUCUGCCAAUGCCCCAAGAUGUUGCCUACCCUUUCCUGAUAAUUCAAGUAUAACAAGAUCACCACAUGCCCUAAUCUGGUUAGAAUUCGAGUUGCUCUAAUCACCUCGUGCCCCAUUCUGAUCAAUAUUUGAGCCGCCCUAUUCGGGUUUUCAACUCAAAUCCCCUUUGGUCUCAAGGUGCCCUUUGCGGGUUUUCACUUUGGCCUCUCCAUUUUUCUUUUCUUUUCUUUUUUCUUUUUCUUUUUAUCACUUUUAUUUUUUAUUUUUAUUUUGACCCUUUUGUUUUAAUCUGAACUCAUAGGAUUAGGCAUGUCCUUGUUAUCCCUUCUGAUCGACGCUUUUCCAGAUAAGGCCUUCAACAUAAGGUCCUUCCCAACUUGGGAUAAAGUUCAUUUUGUAUGGGAAGGAUCUUCUUCAAUACCAAGUCCCUUUCAAGGAGUUCUCUAGGGCAGAUCCUUUUUUUUGUGAGCUCGCAUCAUUUGCUUUUGGCACAUUUGACCAUGAUGGAUAACUUUGAACAUUCCUCUUCAAUCGAAAUUGGAUCCAAAAACUCAGAGAGAAAGAAUAUUGUCUUCAAUAGGCAAAAUUACGAUGGGCCCAAGAGAAAGGUAUUGCCCCGGUAAAGUUUUUUUUUUGCGCCAUCUUUUUUUUUGUUGGACAAUAUGAAAUUAAUCGUGAACAGACUGAAAACUUUUGAUAUUAUGCUGUUGUUCAAAUUUAGUAUAUUGUCAGAUAUAAUCCUUUUGACGUUCCAUACUGACAUAUGAUUUUCAUGAAUUUGCUAACUGUCGACUUUGUGACAUUGGCAUAUGAAGCAGCUUCCACCCAUUUAGAAUGUAAUUGACGACCACAAAAAUGAAUCAAUGACCGUCAGACUCUUUUGGCGAGAUCGACCAAAUGACCUUCAUGCCCCACAUAAGGAGAAGUCAUGUAUCCCAAUGACUCUUUGUAGGGUAAGAUCCGUCUCUCGACUUGUUCUACCAUCUUUAACAAGUCCGGAAAUAGGCUACAAUCUAUGUCAUCUUCAGAGUCAUGAGAUCCCUCUAAACACAUAUCUCGCUCAAAAGAAUGUUCGAAAUCUGUAGUAAUGCCACUCAUGUCAUUGAUAUCUAGGGACCCAUAGUAAAUACCAAAGACUUUACACAGGAAUAUAUGAAUUUAUGAAUAAUUAUUUAUACAAUAUGGUCAUAAAUGAAUAAAAGAAUGAUUGUGGAAGAAAAUCCAAAAGAAUGAAAGAAUAAUUAUUCAAAAAGAAUAAAAAAUAUUGGCUCAAAAAUAAAUGCAAAGAUAUAUUUUAUUAGAAUAAUGACGUUCAGACAUGAGUCUUUUUUCACAAAGGAAUUUCUAUCAUUUUUAGGCUAAAAACAACAAAAAUGUUCUGAACAUUACUCUAAAUAAGCUCUAAAAACUACAGGAAUUUCUUUCGCAGUCCAAUUGCUUAGAAGUCUCCAGAUUUAUUAGGGCGGAUAUCUAACAAUGUCCCUUUUCAUUUGUGUCCUCAUAUAUGUCAUUGAUGUGAACACUUCCCAUCAUUAUGUGUAUCUUUUUCUCCUCUUUAAUUUCCUCACAAAGCUUCAUCUCAUUGUCAUCCAUCAUGCCCUGAAUCAAGGCCUUGAAUUUCACACUCUCUUGGGUCUCGUGCCCCUUCUCGUGAUAGAACUCACAAUGGUUCCUUGUCUUUCCAUGGUUUCCUCCUGAAUCAAAAAUAACUAAUCUCAUUCCUGCCCUCACGUCUACCCCCUUAUCAAUAUGAUUGGGUAGUGGAUUUUCUGCACUAGAAGAGUCAUCAAAUCUGACAACACCCAUGUUAAUGAGUCUUUCAACCAGUUUCUUGAAGGCAGUGCAAUUCUCUAUUGAGUGCCCCGUAAUUCCUGCGUGGUAUUCACACUGAGCAUUUGCGUUAUACCAUUUAGGAAAUGGAGGCAACAUUGGUUUCUGGUAGAAAUGGGACACCACAUGCACAUUAAAUAGGCUUUGAUAUAGCUCGCUAUAUGACAUCGGUAUAGGUGUGAACUGAGGCUUUUUUGUAUUUACCUUCGUGUAAGAUUCUCGCUUUAAAGGACUCUGAUGGCUGGUGGUUUCUGUCUUUGGCUGGUCCACAGCGAUUGGUUUUGAGUGGCCCUUGUUAUAUCAGCCUGCAUUAUCCCCCUUAUUCCCCUUUCUCUUUGGGGCCUUUAUAGUAUCUGAGUAUUCUACCCUCACCUGUUUUAUUUCUGCUGGAUUAUCAAGAGCAAUAGGAUUGACUAAAUUGUUCAUCAGAUUGGAUCUUGAGCCUGUCGGGCGAUUCAUUGGUGUUAAGGUAUUGGUCUGAUAUUGCUGGGAUUUGAUAGUAAGGGGUGCCCCUUAUGGGUGCAUAUCUGGCUGGACACUUAUCAGGAUAAAAUUUGAGGGAUAAUUAGGGUCUUCAUUAUCCUCCCAAAAGUGGACCACUGGGCUUUCCUCUCUUUCUAACCCUCUAGCCAAUAACUGGGUUAACUGGUUUAUCACAUUGCUUUGGAAUUCUAGCAUCUGAUCCUUCAUAUUUUGUUGAAAUUUGGUCAAUUGCUCUAGCAUCUGUACUUGCAUCUGCUCUAUUCUCUCCAAUCUUUGAUUCAUGCCUCUUGACUUUGCUUGGGUACUGUAACGGUGUUUCGUUUGUUAGUUAGUUUCCAGAUUAACUGAGGAAUGAUUUUAAUUGAUUAGGCUCUUUUAGUGGACUUUAAUGCGUAUGAUGUCAUGUGAUGCGAAUGCAUGCAAUGAAUGCAUAAAGAGACGUUGAUUCUGAUUCAAUUCCAUUUAGAAAACUUUACUAGAAAACAAAUCUCUUUACAUAAAAUGGAUAUUUAUACGGCUUUUCCCUCAUAGGCGGAGACAUUCGAUCCUCUUCUUCAUUCGAGUGCUAAGAUAAAUUUCACGAACUCUUUAAAAAUGAUGUCUUUUCUAUCUCCUUUUUGCUCGGUCCGGGCCGCAACUCGUUGCUCACUUGUACUCGUGAUGCUCGUUGGCCUCUCUUUAAUAAAGUUCAGCGGCUCUCGAAUAAUCUUUGUCAUCUUGAGUCCUUGGGCAACGGAGCCAUAGUCGUGUAAUCCUCCAUUAAACUUUCAUCCUUCUCUUAUCACGUUUUCUUGGACCAUAUUCGGACAACCAUAUUGUCAUCCACUUUAUCAAGAAAUCUGUUUUCUUAUGACAAGCUCUCUAUUUAGAUACUGAACGUGAAUCAACACCUCUUUUCUAUGAUGAAAAUGUAAUGCAAUCAUAACCAUAACAAAACGAAACAGGUUAGUGCAAAACAAAAGCAAGCAAGAAAGAAACAAAUUGAGCAUCUACUCGGGAAACCACUAGGGUUUGGUGUAAUUAUUCCUAAGGUGGGCAACUAGGGUUCACUAUAUGUAGUUUGGCUCUAAGGUAAGGGUACCUGAACUAGCAGAUUCCUCGAUCCUCACCCAUUAUAGGCUCAUACGGACCAAGUUCAGUUCAGGGGAAUACAUUUCCCUAUGACUGCACAGAGAUGAAAAUCUCACGAAGACAUAGGUACAGAUGUAUCCCGAAAGCAAUCUGCUAUCCUGCACGGAAGUGAAGACCUCACGAAGGAAAUAGCUUCUCACUCCCACUUAAAAGGAUAUAAUCGAGUGGUUAUGUAAUGCAAUAUGCAGAAACAUUAAAAUUCAAACCAAUAAAGUAAUUACAAACCGAAGUAAUUAUAAUCGUAACAAAAAUGGACAAAAUACAACAAAAUAAUCGUAAAUUUAAACCAAUUUUUCAGGUGACCUCUAGGCAUUCGGUGUGAUUCUACCUAGGGUAGGCUCUUAAGGCUCAUUAUAUGCGGUUCGGUUCUAAAGUAAGGGUACCCGAACCAACAGAUUCCUCGAUCUUCACCCAUUAUAGGCUUAUAUAGAUCAAGUUCGAUUCAAGGGAACACAUUUUCCCUAUGACUAUACGGAGAUGAUAUUCUCACGAAGGCACAGGUGCCGAUGUAUUUCAAAAGCGAUCCACUAUCCUAUACGGAGGUUAAAACCUCACGAAGGAAUAGUUUCUCACUCCCACUUAAAAGGGUAAAAUCAUUCAACUCUUGUAAUGUAUAAUGCAAAGAUCAAUUAAGCAAGAAAAUAAUGAAUGCAAAAGGAUCUCAUGAAUUUUUAAAAAAAUAUAUUUUCUCAACCAUACGACAAAAAUUAAUCAACUUUGUGGCUCGACUCUCUUAUUUUUUUUAAAAGUCCCCAAUGGAGUCGUCAAGCUGUCGAAACCAUUUUUUAUUUUUGGAAAAAAAAUUAGUUGUCGAUAAAAAUUGGAGUCGCCACCAAUCUUUUAUUAAGGUGUGAUUGGACCACCUAAAAACGACUUUGGUCUACGAGUUUUAAAAAAACAGGUUUGGGAGUCAGUUACGUACGAGGAAGGAUUAGCACCCCCGUACGCCCAAAAAUUGGUACCAAAUUGAUUAAUAAAUGUCUUAAUGUCGAGAGUUUUAAAAAAAAUACAAUCCUUAAUUAAAUUAAUUAUUAAGACGCCCUCAUUUUGAAACAGAAAACAUCACACCCAAUACGUUAGGGCACGAUAUUUUAUUUCUUCAAGAUGAGUUUAUCAAAAAAACUUGUGUAAUAAAAUUUAAGAAAAUACUUAAUUGUUUAAAAUUUAUGAAGAAAACGCAACCCAAUACAUUAGGGCACGAUUUCUUAAAAUCCCAAACAUUCAAUAUCUCCUUUAUUAUAUAUAUAUUUUUUAAAAAUCUUUGUCUCGAGAAAUCAAUACGUCACAUUCAAUGCGUUAGGACACACAUAUUAAAUUCCCAACAACAAGCUCUUCAUUUUAUUUUUGAUCAAAGAGCAAUUCUCGAUUGUUAGAUUUAACGAAGAAAAUCGGAACCCAAUACGUUAGGGCUCAAUUUUCUUGAAAAUCCUAAAUACGAGUAUUAUCUCUAUUUUGAAAAGUUCUAUUUUUAAAUUCGAGUAAAAAGAUGACAUAAUGUAAUAUUGAAUGUAUGUACAAAUGUCAUAAUAACAAAUACAACAAUAGCAUAGAAAUAAUAUAAACAAAUAAAUAUAUAAAAAAACAAUAUUCCAUGAUAUGCAAAAUAUUAAAUAAAAAAUAUAAAUAUAAACACAAUUAAAUAGCGAAUGAAGAAAGUAAGCAAAAUAAAUAAAAAGAAGAAGGUAUAUAAUAUACACAUAGAAAUUUAAAAAAAAUACAUAUGAUUUACAAAUAAAAUUUUGGAUUUUAAAACUUAUAUAUACAAAAGUCAUAACGUAUUUAAAAAAUAAAUAAUAAAAAAUAUGUAUAUAUAAAUUAUAAAAUACGUGUUAAAGACAUAAGCAUGUAUUUAAGCAUUUUCAAAAAAAACAUAUGUAUUAUAAAAUGUAAAUAUAUAUAUAAAUUAGGAAAUAAAAAUAAAACGUAUGUACAGGUAUUUAUAAAAGUUUAAAAUAUAUACAUAUACUAUAAAAAAUGUGGAAAAUAUAUUUACAAUAAUUUAAAAUAAUGUAUGAAUAUAUAUAUGUAUUCGUUUGUAGAAAAUAUGAAGAAUAAUAUACAUGUAAAAUAUAUUUAUAUAUAAAUAUACGUAUAUACACAUUAUAAAAGCAAAAAAAAAAGGUUUUUGAAAUUAAGAUAUAAAAAGUAUAUAUAUGUUUUAUAAAUAAUUUAAAAAAUAAAAAUCUUAAACUAAACUAGUAAGGAUUAAAAUGAACCUAAAACGAAAUUAGAGGACCAAACGUAAAUAAAAUAAAUAAAGGACCCAAUUUUAAGGCGUGGAUAACUCAGAGGGACCGAAUGGGAAAAUAUCCCUACCCUCUGAAACGCACCGCUUUAUCGGGAUCAAAUCGGAAGCCAGCCAAAAUUUUAAGGCUCAAUUUAAAAAAAAUAAAAAAAAUUAAUUAAAAUGAUUGAAAACUCUGAGGGACCAUAUGCGCAAAUUUCCCAUUCAAGCCAAAACGCGCGGACCCUGCUUGCGGGUCGGGUCAACGCGCAGGUCUGGCUUCAGCAAAACGACACCGUUCCGAUGUCCUUAUUUAAACUCCUUUUUUUUUCAGAAAGUGUCAUUUGCGGCAAAAAAAAAAAACAAAAUCCUUUUGUUUGUUUGCUAGGGUUUCAUAUCCUGUCUCAGCCGCCGUCGUCAUCAAAGGCCCUCCAUGGCUUCCAUCGAUGUCCCGGUCUCCGAUUGUGACGGAGGAGGGUACACCGCGACAGCACCAAGUAUGAUUUUCUCUCUUUUUUAUAUUUUAAGCGAAAAAUAAAUAAAAACAAAAGGGAAAAAGAAAUGAAAAAAAAUCGAAUCUAACAAUGAUGAACACCCGAAAAUAAAACGAAAAAUUCACCUUUAGUAUUCAAAAGCCUCUUUUUUUAUUUUUCCUCCCCCUUGUACCGUAUUCGUAUUGGCUUUUUAUAGCCGGAAUUACAGAAAAAAUCAAAAUAAAAGGCCUCCAAAAUCCAAUCUGUUAUCCCCCUUUUCUCGUAUUUUUGUUGCCUUUUUCUGUUGUUGCUGUUUGUUUGCAGAUUUGGAGGCCAGCCUGGAGCAACGGACGGAGGUGCACACGCGCGUGAAGGCGCAACUCGCGCGGAGGAAACUCUGGCCGCUGCGGCGCUAGGGGUCGUGCGCUGCUACUAGGGUUUCUGAAGGCUUGUUUUGGGUCACAUUGUAUUUGGGCUAGGGUCUAAUAUUUGGGCUGAUGUAAUUUGGGUCUUUUGGACAAAUGUAAAUGGACUUUGGAAUUGUUGGCCUUCUUUUGGUUUAUGCAUGUGGGCCCGGGCAAAUUGGGCCUAUUACAAGCUUUAUUUAAUAUACAAUAGUUUCAUGUUCUGAAAAUCUUCACUGUGCUUAAGGAGAAAUUGGUUUAACAAACCCAUUUGCAUGGGAAGGGCUUUCAAUUCUUCUUCGUGAUUUCUUCAUGAUGUAGAAAAUGCAUGAAUAUAUUGAUCUUCCAAGUGGUACGUUGAUAUGUAAUUAAACCAGACGAGUCCCUGUAAGGAUUUUAGAUUUUUCUUCUUUUUCUUAAUAAAUGUUGAACAAAUUGAAAUAAGUCGAUUCUUUAAAACAAUCACAUGGUUCUAGAUCUAAU
rnacentral:lncRNA from 1 species